rnacentral:rRNA from 1 species
CCUACGGGUGGCAGCAGUGAGGAAUAUUGGUCAAUGGACGCAAGUCUGAACCAGCCAUGCCGCGUGCAGGAAGACGGCUCUAUGAGUUGUAAACUUCUUUUAUACGAGGGUAAACGCAGCUACGUGUAUCUAUCUGAAAGUAUCGUACGAAUAAGCAUCGGCUAACUCCGUGCCAGCAGCCGCGGUAAUACGGAGGAUUCAAGCGUUAUCCGGAUUUAUUGGGUUUAAAGGGUGCGUAGGCGGUCGUAUAAGUUAGCGGUGAAAGUCCGAGGCUCAACUACGGAAUUGCCUCUGAGACUGUUCGGCUAGAGAGUAGUUGCGGUAGGCGGAAUGUAUGGGGUAGCGGUGAAAUGCUUAGAGAUCAUACAGAACACCGAUUGCGAAGGCAGCUUACCAAGCCAUUUCUGACGUUGAGGCACGAAAGCGUGGGGAGCAAACAGGUUUAGAUACCCUUGUAGUC